UGGGGAAUAUUGGACAAUGGGCGCAAGCCUGACGCAGCAACGCCGCGUGAGUGAUGAAGGCCUUCGGGUCGUAAAGCUCUGUCGGAGGUAACGAAUGCUCUUGAGGUUAACAGCCUCGGGAGGUGACGGUACCCUCAAAGGAAGCACCGGCUAACUCUGUGCCAGCAGCCGCGGUAAUACGUAGGGACCAAGCGUUGUUCGGAUUUACUGGGCGUAAAGGGCGCGUAGGCGGCAUGACAAGUCACUUGUGAAAUCUCUGGGCUUAACCCAGAACGGCCAAGUGAUACUGUCGCGCUAGAGUGCAGAAGGGGCAAUCGGAAUUCUUGGUGUAGCGGUGAAAUGCGUAGAUAUCAAGAGGAACACCUGAGGUGAAGACGGUU
rnacentral:rRNA from 1 species